UACAUGCAUUUUUGAAAUAUAUCUUAAAUAAAUUCUUUAGUCUUAAUAUAUCUCUAAAAAUUAAAAAUAAUUUUUUUUCUCACGUUAUGUACGAAUAUAAAUUAAUUGUUUUAUCAUAAUUUCAAAUUUCGCGCGUAUUUCUCGAAAACGCGGCACACAACGGACGCCAUGAUUGUUUUUUGGUCAUGACGUCAUUACGUUAGUAAAAAACUACAGCUGUCAGUAAUGCUACUGCUCCACCUGCGUCUUAACGCCUUAAAUUUUGGCAUUACGCAGAUGUGGCCAACGUUUUAAUGGCAAUUUAUACAAAUGGCAUUAUUAAUAGCAUUAAACGUUAAGCGAUAACUCGGGUGUCGGUUUUUUGGACACAUCAAAGGGUUUUAGUGCGUAGCUUAGAGCGCUAAGUGAUGUUGGCUACAUUAAUGCCAUCUCAUUGCACGCAUGCAAGGACGAGUGUAGAUACUUUGUUUAAGCGGUAACUGCAUUUUACGAGCACGGUAAUGGAAUGGUCAAAUGAGAAAGCUUUAGUUUUUAGAAUUAUUUUGUGUGUCUGAGUUUAACCUCUUUAAUGUGUGUUAACGCGUUACUUCAUGAGGGAUUAACUCUUUGCAGAAUUGUACCUAAGUGUAGCCAACACGCAUUUUUAAUGCAAUAAGUAACGUGUAGUUGGCCAUUGACAUUAACGUUAACGCUAACGCAGGUGGAGCAGGAGCAUUAUACAUAUUUUGAUAUGUAUUGAAAAUUUUAACUGACACUUUUGUUUAGGGGAGAGCGGGGCUGAAAGUGCCGGGGGUAAAUUGUGCCGACGCGAAUAUCUCAAAAACAGAAAGAGAUAGAUAUAUGCGAUCGUAUUGUGUCGCGUAAGGCCUAACAGUCGCGCACACGCGGCUGCCAUUUUAGUUGCGUCAGCGACGCGGACCGAGUCGUACUGCAUGUGAGGGUCCUCCAGCGCCACUAUUGUUUAUAUUUACGCGAGCUAUUAUGAAAGAAAGAAAAUAUGCAGUUUCCAGCCUCCUCAAUCAGUUGAUAAUAACACAGGAGAUAAAAAUGCAGCAGUUUUCUCACCAGAGCUAAUAAGACCACUGCCUAAAGCACCUCCCCGACUAAUUGGACAUACUAAAGCACGUAAAAGAAAGACAGCUGUUCUUACGGACACUCCAGAGAAAAAUGCUUUAGCAGAAGAACAGGCUAGUAAAAAGAAGAAAAAAGAAAGCGAAACUAAAAAGAAGGUUAAGGGAAAAGGGACGGGAAAAUGCAAGGGAAA